UUUGCAUGUGUAUACAUGCAUGUGCAUAUGUAUACGUACAUAUGUAUGCAUGUAUAGCCGCCACAUAUCGGACAGCAGACGACAGAUACCAGGAAUCAGACAAUAGCCGCCACAAGAGAGACAAACAUUUUGGGCGACAAAAAUUUCGACACUACGGUUUUUUUUUCGUAUUUAUUUUAUUUUUUGUUGUUUUCUUGAAUUCGUUUCAAAAAAUUUCGAACGUGUGCGUGUGUGUGUGUGUGUGUCCGUGUGCGUGUUUUUAUUAAGCUACAUUUCCAUCCAGAAUAUUUAAUUGAAAUCGUCUGCCGCCAGAUUCAAUUCGCUUUGAAUAUGAAAUAUGAAAUGAAAUCAAUUUGACUUGUAAUAUGCACAUGCGUGACCAGAAAUAACAUACACACACACAGAGAUACACACACAAACACACACACAUAGACACACACACACAGACACACACACACGCACACACUCAAUCAUAGUGAAUAACUUGAAAGUUUUGUGACGUCAAAAUUGAAAUUAAAAUUUAUAAACGUAAUCGACAACUGCCGAAAAUAUUUACAAAACAAGACAAACUGAGUGCAUAAAUAAUAUCUUUAUAUGUACAUACAUAUAUACAUAUACAUACAUACAUACGUAUCUGAACUAAAUCAAGACCAGAGAAGUGAACAAUCAAAAUAAUAAACAAAAAGCGUUAAGAAUACACACACAUACAUAUUUAUGUGUGUAUAUGACAGAGUUUAACGACAUUC
rnacentral:misc_RNA from 1 species